rnacentral:misc_RNA from 1 species
AGACGGAGACCAGCAUCCCCAGCUAGAGGACGUCUAGGGGAUCCACCUCUUCGAGUAACAGGGGAUCUUCUUCGAGGAGAGGCUAGAGGUUUCCGACGGGGAGGAAGGUUCUCUUUGCCUUUGUGGUCCAUCCUUCUCAACAUCUACACUUGCAUUAUCAGUUUUGGGAGCAUCUCGCUUUGGAGCAGCAGCAAUAGGUUUUGGGGGUGG